ACUAUUCCAUUACAUCCCCAUUAUUCUGCUUAGUGGAACUCUUUACCUUGAUCUCAGAAUUCUGGAACAUUUCCAUUGCUUCUUCUACUAGUGCCUCAUCAUACCCAAGUUUACAGAGACGAUCUGUGGCUCCCAGGGUUUUAUGCUUUCAGUAUUGUGACAAAACUGGAUGAGAGACAUCACCUGUGAUUGGCUAAGAGGGCCGUCACUUCAGGAAGGUGGACAGGACAGUUGCACAUACCCCUUAAGCGUAGACCUCGCUGCUGCACACUGAGUAUCCCGUGAGAGAAUAUAUAGAAGCAAGAUGUCUGUAGAUGUUUACGAGAAGUCAGCAGCUUUUACGCCAGAACCUCAACCAUUGCAGUGCAAAGCACCACUUUAGGCCACAAAUCUCAUCGGUGCUGUCUCACUCCUAAGGAGUUCAAAACGCGUCCAUAGGAGUUGUUUGCUGACCAGGUGAAGGUGGAUGGUGUGUGCUCUGUAUUUUUAAAGAAAAGUGAAAUAAAGGAUCUACGUUUUAAGGGACUGCUGGACUACCUUUCUUCAUUUACCCACAAGUUUCAAGCCUGGCCGGGCUCAAGUCCUUGCAGACCGUGGAGGAGCGGCAAUGUUUUAUUCAACAAACAUUUCCAGGAAGAAGAGAAAAGAUUUAGAGAAUCAACUAUAGGGAUCAGAAAUAAACAUACGAAGAGGUAGAGAUAUUUUUUAAGGAAACAAGACGUCACUCACUGAAGAGCAUGGAAUCCUCAGCACUUCUGGACACCGAUGGAGAUAGAGGUUUGCUGGUCCAGUCAUCGAGAGGAUAUGCCUUUCCUGAAGAAAACCUUUUAUAGCCAUUAAAUUGGGUCCCGCUCCAUAUUAACACCCAUGGUUUUGGAACUGAAUGGUUAUCAAGCUCAUAU